GUGCUCGCUUCGGCAGCACAUAUACUAAAAUUGGACCGAUACAGAGAAGAUUAGCAUGGCCCCUGCGCAAGGAUGAUACGCAAAAGAAUACAAUUUGUGUGUUGUU